CCCUACGGGGCGCACCAGGCGCGCAAACUUUACAAUGCGAGCAAUCGUGAUAAGGAAACCCUGAGUGCCUGUCGAUGCAGGCUGUUCAUAUAUCUAAAUCAUAUGUGAAGAAAGGGCAGGGCAAGACCGGUGCCAGCCGCCGCGGUAAUACCGGCUGCUCGAGUGAUGGCCACUAUUACUGGGUUUAAAGCGUCCGUAGCUUGACUGUUAGGUCUCUUGGGAAAUCUUCACGCUCAACGUGAAGGCGUCUAAGAGAUACCGGCAGUCUUGGAACUGGGAGAGGUAAACCGUACUUCGGGGGUAGGAGUGAAAUCUUGUAAUCCUCGAGGGACGACCUAUGGCGAAGGCAGUUUACCAGAACAGCUUCGACAGUGAGGGACGAAAGCUGGGGGAGCAAACGGGAUUAGAUACCCCGGUAGUCCCAGCCGUAAACAAUGUGCGUUAGGUGUGUCGGUAACCACGUGUUACUGAUGCGCCGAAGAGAAAUCGUGAAACGCACCACCUGGGAAGUACGGUCGCAAGGCUGAAACUUAAAGGAAUUGGCGGGGGAGCACCACAACAGGUGGAGCCUGCGGUUUAAUUGGAUUCAACGCCGGACAUCUCACCGGAUAAGACAGCUGAAUGAUUGUCAAUCUGAAGGUUUUACAUGACUAGCUGAGAGGAGGUGCA
rnacentral:rRNA from 1 species